rnacentral:rRNA from 1 species
UCUUUUCCUUUUGUUUCAGCCGCCGCGGUAAUACGUAGGGGGCUAGCGUUAUCCGGAAUUACUGGGCGUAAAGGGUGCGUAGGUGGUUUCUUAAGUCAGAGGUGAAAGGCUACGGCUCAACCGUAGUAAGCCUUUGAAACUGGGAAACUUGAGUGCAGGAGAGGAGAGUGGAAUUCCUAGUGUAGCGGUGAAAUGCGUAGAUAUUAGGAGGAACACCAGUUGCGAAGGCGGCUCUCUGGACUGUAACUGACACUGAGGCACGAAAGCGUGGGGAGCAAACAGG